GUCUCGAUAGCUAAGUGGUAUAGCAUGCGAUUGCAGUCCGACUGACACUGAUAUCGCGGGGUCCGGUGUUCAAACCACCGUCGGGACU